AAAUAAAAAGGCAUCUUUUUAUUUUUAAAAGACCUUUUUCGGAAGGUAUGCUUAAAGAGGGGCUUGCGUCACAUUAGUUAGUUGGCAGGGUAAAGGCCUACCAAGACUAUGAUGUGUAGCUGGACUGAGAGGUUGAACAGCCACAUUGGGACUGAGACACGGCCCAAACUCCUACGGGAGGCAGCAGUAGGGAAUUUUCGGCAAUGGAGGAAACUCUGACCGAGCAACGCCGCGUGAACGAUGAAGUAUUUCGGUAUGUAAAGUUCUUUUAUUGAAGAAGAAAAAAUAGUGGAAAAACUAUCUUGACGAUAUUCAAUGAAUAAGCCCCGGCAAACUAUGUGCCAGCAGCCGCGGUAAUACAUAGGGGGCGAGCGUUAUCCGGAAUUAUUGGGCGUAAAGGGUGCGUAGGCGGUUUAAUAAGUCUAUAGUUUAAUUUCAGUGCUUAACACUGUCCUGCUAUAGAAACUAUUAGACUAGAGUGAGAUAGAGGCAAGUGGAAUUCCAUGUGUAGCGGUAAAAUGCGUAAAUAUAUGGAGGAACACCAGAGGCGUAGGCGGCUUGCUGGGUCUUUACUGACGCUGAGGCACGAAAGCGUGGGGAGCAAACAGGAUUAGAUACCCUGGUAGUCCACGCCGUAAACGAUGAGUACUAAGUGUCGGGAUUACUCGGUACUGAAGUUAACACAUUAAGUACUCCGCCUGAGUAGUACGUACGCAAGUAUGAAACUUAAAGGAAUUGACGGGACUCCGCACAAGCGGUGGAUCAUGUUGUUUAAUUCGAAGAUACACGAAAAACCUUACCAGGUCUUGACAUACUCUGCAAAGCUAUAGCAAUAUAGUGGAGGUUAUCAGAGAUACAGGUGGUGCAUGGUUGUCGUCAGCUCGUGUCGUGAGAUGUUAGGUUAAGUCCUAAAACGAGCGCAACCCUUGUCAUUAGUUGCCAGCAUGUCAUGAUGGGCACUUUAAUGAGACUGCCAAUGAAAAAUUGGAGGAAGGUGAGGAUCACGUCAAAUCAUCAUGCCCCUUAUGAUCUGGGCUACAAACGUGAUACAAUGGCUGUUACAAAGAGUAGCUGAAACGCAAGUUUAUAGCCAAUCUCAUAAAAGCAGUCUCAGUUCGGAUUGAAGUCUGCAACUCGACUUCAUGAAGUUGGAAUCGCUAGUAAUCGCGAAUCAGCAUGUCGCGGUGAAUACGUUCUCGGGGUUUGUACACACCGCCCGUCAU
rnacentral:rRNA from 1 species